UUUGCUCAGCUGCAGAGGGGACGGAGAAGGGAGUGCUCGGGAACGGUUUCAGGAGGAGGCAUAAUGGGCCGCAGGUUGAAUUAAUCAGGUGCGUGUGUCAAGGAUGCGGGGAAGGCAGGACUCACACGCAGACAACAAAAGAAGACUUUAAUAGUCUAAAUGUCAAAAGCAAACGGCCAAGGGGCAAAAACGCACACAGGAACCAGGGGAAAAGGCAGGCAGAAACCAGAAACAUCCAGGACAUUCAACAAUGACGCGACAAGUGACAAGAGACACACACGGCUUAAAUACACAGAUGACAGGACAAGGCAGGAAGUGAAGUUACCCAGGGAGACAAGAAGGAGAAACUACAAAAUAAGACAGGAAAUAAAACCACACCGUGACAGUGUGUGUGUUCUGCCUUUAAGUAGGAGAGAUCCGGCGACAGCGGGAGGACUGAGCCAGGCGAGGAAACUGGAGCCGGACACUCGUGGUUAAAACGGACAAUAAAGACUGUUUGCAGAAUCCGCUGUAUCCUCAUUAUUACGCGUUCCCCCCAAGGACUGCACGUUACAGGGGCCUUCGGAGGUAUAGCCUUAUGAGAAAAAGUACAAAAGAAAUCAGGUCAAGGUCAAGCUCUGUACACACAAAAAAGAGAGCAAAUUCUCGACUCAGUAUCAUGAUUUGUUACUAAAAGCAUGAGGGGAACUAUGGCAAAGAUAUAUAUUUUUCCACUUCCAGUCAGUCAAUCAUCUUCAUCGGCACAAACGGCUUGUCCUCCAUACAGUGUUGCGGACGGGCUGGAGUCCAUCCCAGGCAACAUUGUGCAACAGACACAAGGUCACAUCUUGGAUCGGUCGCCAGUCAAUCACAGAGCUGACACAGAGAUAAACAACCAUUCACAUCCACACACCUACAGGCAAUUAGGAGUCACCAAUCAACCCAAUCCCCAGAGCAUGUCUUUGGAUUGUGGGAGGAAGCCAGAGUACCCACGCAGACUCCACACAGAAAGGCUGCUGGUUGGAGAGAGAUUUUUUUCUUUCGGUGUGCACAACAUGUGUGGAACGAGAGACUUCACCCCGCCCUGACCGUGCAGUAAUCCCACAUUAUAAAUCACUGUCACCCGGGGGCAAGACGGGUCGUCCGUCUUCCACGACACCCACCGGGAGGGAAGAGCUGCUUCAAACGCUUCACAUCUGCUGGUGUCAUGUAGGUGCUUGACCACCACCGUCAGCUGAUCACUGUGCUUCCACUUCCACUUCCUUUCUGGUCCUCAGCGUCUCUGCCAGCUCUCAUCCAUCUGUCUGGACUUUUAAGACUGUCCAUGUUUCUGCUUCGCUGUCUAGCUAUUCGCUAUCCAUGAUAUUUAUGGUUGUACUCAAGAAAUAAAUUCAAGCAUCUGGGGAAAUGCAAAAAAAGGGGCAUUAAGAGUUGUUAAAUAAAAGUAGCAGCAUGAUAGAUGACUGUUGAAUAGAGUUGCUC
ensembl:lncRNA